CAAGACGAAAAGACCCCGGAACCUUUACUGUAUUCUGGUAUUGGAUUUUGGUCCCAUAUGUGUAGCAUAGGUGGGAGGCUUUGAAGGUGAGGCGCUAGCUUUGCCAGAGCCGCAAUGUGAAAUACCACCCUUAUUGUACUAAGAUUCUAACUGCGUGCCGUGAAUCCGGCCGCAAGACAGUGCCAGAUGGUCAGUUUGACUGGGGCGGUUCCCUCCUAAAGUGUAACGGCGGGGCCCAAAGGUUCCUUCAGGCUGGUUGGCAAUCAGCUGUUGAGUGUAAAAGCAUAAAGGAGCUUGACUGCGAGUCCGACAGGACAAGCAGGUACGAAAGUAGGGUUUAGUGAUCCGGUGGUUGAAAAUGGGAUUGCCAUCGCUCAACGAAUAAUAGGUACUCCGGGGAUAACAGGCUUAUAGGGCUCGAGAGUUCAUAUCGACAGCCCUGUUUGGCACCUCGAUGUCGGCUCAUCCUAUCCUGGGGCUGGAUAAGGUCCCAAGGGUCCGGCUGUUCGCCGGUUAAAAGGGUACGCGAGCUGGGUUCAGAACGUCGUGAGACAGUUAAAUGACCGUUAGCUGUCUAUAAAUCUGGCUAUAUGCUGGAAAAUCUGGGUAUCUCAUAUUACUACUUGACGAUAAGUCUCUAUAAUAUAAGAUGUCGUUAAGGAGUGAAAAUAUAUGAGUGCAGAUAAUCAGCAGGAAAGGCCAAGCGGGAUAGCAUCUUACUAUAUUACCGGCUUUGUUGAUGGAGAAGGUUGCUUUUCCAUAACUAUUCAGAAAAGCAAAAAUGUGAAGUUAGGAAUUCAGGUUAUUCCGGAAUUUCAUGUUUCACAACAUCAAAAUAGAACUGAGGUUAUAAAAGCGAUUCAGGACAAGUUUGGUUGCGGUUAUAUUAAACCAAAUAAUUCACCGAAUCCUAAAGAUUUAACAUCGGUCUAUGUUGUGCGUAAUUUGAAAGAUCUCCAAGAUAAAGUUGUGCCAUUCUUUCACAGCUAUCCUUUGAUUUCAUCAAAACGUCAUGAUUUUGCGAAAUUUGCUAAAGUGAUAGACUUGAUGAGUCAGGGAGAGCACUUAAAAAAGAAUGGAUUAAUUACGAUAUUAAAAUUAGCGUUUUCAAUGAACGCCGGCGGUAAAUAUCGUAAAUUAAGAUUAGAAGAUGUGUUGUCUAGUUUGGAAUCCUCAGAGACUGUACGCCAGAAACCUGUCUAAUGUAGGUAGGUAUAUGAUACAGUCCGAACUGCAUAGCGAUAUGCAGAGGUUAAUAGAAAUAUUAAUCCCUCUAUAAAUUUUAGAGUGUAACAGAAUUGUCGGUCUCUAUCUGCUGUGGGCGUUAAGAUAUUUGAAGAGGAGCUCUUCCUAGUACGAGAGGACCGGGAGAGACGAACCUCUGGUGUUCCAGUUGUCCUGCCAAGGGCAAAGGCUGGGUAGCUAUGUUCGGAAGGGAUAAGCGCUGAAGGCAUAUAAGCGCCAAGCCCACCUCAAGAAUUGAUAUCUCUUCCGUCGCAAGACGGAUGAAGGCUGGUUGUAGACUACGACCUUGAUAGGCUCCAUGCGUAAGGCCCGUAAGGGUUUUAACUAAGGAGUACUAAUUAGCCAAUCGGCUUGACCA
rnacentral:rRNA from 1 species